ACUGAUACUCCUGGGUUCAAACCAUUUACUACAGAAAGACCUGUACCACACAGAAUGCUGAUUUAAUGGAAAGACUUCUUUUGUAUUUUGAAAUGAUUCGUCUAUCAGCUGUCGAAAGUAGCUCUUCAUCCAGGGCCAAGACUGAUGUGCUCGAAGGGCCAAUAACAGCUCCCUCUCAACCUGUUCAACCAUCAUAGAGUUCUGUUAAAGUGCCUGUCUGACAACAAACUCAAAAAAAAACAUAUAUGUGGAGUCUACAUUGUAUGAUGGAUGCUAUGUGUGCAUGAAGUCAUCUUUGCAAGCAUUGUGUAAGUACUUUACCACAAAUCCUUUGUGUGAAUUUUGUGGCAAAGAUUACAAAUGGAGUUCAGCUACUUUUUCAAGUCAAGGCCACGUUUGGAAGAUUGAAGUUCCCUGUGUGUGUGCAACGACCCAAUUACUUGGCUCAGUUCUGGAGUUCUGGGACACCCUGCAAAGUACUAUGCCAAUGUUAGGUGAGUACAAUAUGUACAUGACCUAUUUUGUAAGUAAGCAUAUUUGAUUAAAUAUAUUCCAAGAAAGUAUUUUGUAAAUAUUCUAAGCUUACAAGUAUAUUCUCUUCUAUCAUUUUUAUGGCUUUGCAUUUUUUACCACAUGUCAUUGCAGACUAACUAAUGUAAACCAUUCUGUCCUCCCAUGUUUUAUCUCUUGUAAUAAAUCUGUAUGCUCAGGUGAGUGAUACAUUUGAAAAAACCCUUUGCAGAAUGGUUUAUGCUUUCACAUGUACUCGACUUACUGAAUCUCAUUAUCAUGGUUCUGCUGAAGCUGCUGGCGUUGGUUGUGUGAUGGACAAAACAAUAGACACAAGUAUGUGACUUGUAACUUAUACAUUGUAGUGUGUUAUCUUUACUUUUUCUAUGGUGUGAUGUUUCCUGUAAUUUCACAGCAGUGGUGUAGUCUGUAGUAAAACUAGCAUAUACCCCUAUCUUCAGUCAGUGUAUCAUUUGAAUCUAGCCUUUACCAUUUGGCUUACCGGGCUGUAUCAUUUUGUUUGGCGGGAUGUAAAGACCAGGGAUUUGGAUAUAUGUCUGUAGUUCAGGAACUCUGCAACAAGACCAUGGCUGAUGCAAGGACAGAGGUUCAAGCUACACAAGACUAUAUUACAAGCGGGGAUGUAAGUUGACAUACAACCGGCUAGUCGUUAGCUGUGUAUGUUCACUGUUGUUGAGAUUAUUUGCACUGGGCAAAAUUGAAAAUAACACUUUGCACAAUGCUAAGUCAUUUUGUACCUUCAUUUGUUACCUUCAAUUUCUUCAAUGCUUUUCUUUUCCUCUAUUCAUUUUUAAUUCCAAUGCAUCUUUCAGUGUAUAACAGAUGCCAGACAUGCCUCAACUAGAUCAGCCAUGCAUUCUCCAGUGACAGCUAUUUCUAUGAGGUAUGUCGAACGCUAAGACCCAUGAAAUUGAUAACUCUUGUCGCACUUUUCUCAAAGGCUGUUUCCAUUUUUAUCAUCUUAUCAGUCAUCUAUGUGAUUUUUGCCUCUCAGCAACAAAAAAUUAUUUCUGUCUGCAAUUGGAGCUGUGCAGAUGAAAGAAGUGCUCCUAGUUGAGAUGUACCAAUGACAAAACAGCUGCUAACACACCUUACAGAAACUGAAAGUGCCUAAUUGUGUUGUAGUUUUUGUGUGUUUUAAAGACAUCAGUGCUUUUAUUGUUGCCUAUUGACUAUAUUCACUAAAUAGAGAUAUCCUGCUUUGGCACCUACAGGUUCUAGUAACUGUCACUCUGUUUCUCCAUUUUCACUGUUAUGUUUUGGGAUUCCUGUCUUGGUAGCCAAGGACUAGUGUAUCGUAAAAAUGCACCCUUGCUCAUAGGAUACAACAUAAGAGGUGGCCCAUGACUGUCUCAGAUUAUUGAAAAAUUGGUUUGAGCAAAGAGGCAUCAACAAUUCAUUUGACACCUGGCAUGGUAAGAAUGUGUAAUAGUUAAUAUGUCAGUGACUGUGUGAUGCUCUUCAGUUUGCCUGAGCAGCACUCAAAAUAUGUUCAUCAGCCUUUCCACUUUAAAAACUCUUUCCUGAUACAAGUACUAAAGGAGUGGCACACAACAUGAAAAAAGUGUGCAGUGGUGCUCAAAGUGAUGAGGGGAAGACAUGGUUUCCUGAAUUAUCUGAUAAAGGACAGGGAUGUGUUAGUUUGAAAUUUCUGGGGGUUUUUUUGUUUUGUUUUUUUUUGUUGGGUUUUUUAAUUUACAGUUGAAAUUUUUAUUGUGAUGUUGUUUAAACAGCCAAAGCCACCAAAACACAUUUCUACUGGGCAAUGAGGAACAAUGAUGGGACUGAUGCUGGGUUCCUGAAGUACCUACUCAACAUUGUGGACCAUUACCAGGUUUGUAGAUGUGCUUCCUAAUGUAAACCAAUGUAUGAUACAACAAACCAAUAAGAUAUUUUGUAUGAACCUUACUGAUUUGUAUAUAUCACUGGCCAUGUUUAAAGGGCAUGGUAGCCCAGAGUUUUUUUUGACAUAUCAGAAAUUGGGAUUUUUAGUAGUAGUAGAGUUACUUAGUAGUUUGAUGCUGCUCCACAGUGUCUCACUUUGCCCAGGGGUUCUUAUAUAUGUAAUGUGUUAUUAGGAAUCAAUCCACACGAAUGCUGGGUGUAAAUUACUACUUUGUAGCAUUAUAGCAGGAUAGAUGUUGAGGAAAUUUAACUUUGGCUUAAAAUGUUACCUUAGGGCAAGCAUGACCUGUGCAAUAAAGAUUCAAGAUGUCAACACCCAGGCUAUGUGUGCAGCAAAAAGCCCUUGACCUUCCUAGAUGAAAGCUAUAACAAAGACCACCAUCUACAAGAACCCUUCUGAUUAUCUUCUGUGCCGUGACACCUUUUACAUUGAGACCUUUCAUGUGGUGGUCCUUAUAUAUGCCCCAAAGAGAAUUAAUCUUGGUGACAAUUCAUAUGUGAUGAGGAUCCAUCUGGCCAUUUUGGAUUGAGUGAGUUGCUAUCAAUAUUUGUUAGACAAAAUUUUUAUUUCUUUUAAGAAAACAUUUUAUGUAGGCUCUAUGCUCUUUGGGUUUACCCAAUGAUCGAUGGGUCGGCAUAUCGUACUAUGGAUUAGAUGGACUAUACUGCAUAAUUAGAACAUGUCAUUUCCAUUAUAGAAUGAAAAUGUUGACCAAGAAGUUUCCUCGAUUCAAUUCUACUGACAUUACUGGCAUCCAGACAGGAUGGCCCCUACUAGAGUGCUGAGACCAAAGACAUUCAUGAUCAGACAGGCCGUAUGGAAUGAGGUGUUCAAGAGGAAUAAAUUAGAUGUGAACCCAUUGCCAGUUUGAUUUUUUUCCUAUAGUGAAGAUAAUAGUAGAGGUGUAGGAAAUCCAAAGGCUGUUUCUGGAAUAAAUUAAGCUUGGGUAUCCAACCCCUUGGGAGUGCCAGACUUCAGUCUAUUCCUUACCUCGGCUCAAGGAAUAGCGUACCUACACAUUAAUAUACAUGUAAGAAAAAAAUUAAACAAAAGAAGAAAGAAACAAUGCAACACUUGAAUUCAAAAUGAAUGUUAACUGGCUGCCUGGCUCUGCUAGCCCCUAGGGUUAUUCCAGGCAGCUAGUACCCUAAUUUUUACUGUUAAUAUUUUGAUUAAAAUUGUAAUUUUUUCUUUAGCAAGAAUGACUACAAAUAAAGAUUGAUUAUAUCAGAAAAAUCAUGUAGCACUAAAUACUCCCUUUGGUGGGUAUUACAUCCUUGUUGCAGGCAGUGUUUGCUGACUACGGGAUGAAGAUGAAAUGGGGAAUUUGUGUAGGUAACCAAGAUUGCUGUGUGCUGCUCUUGUAAUCAUUUAUUUAAUCUGUAACCUGUAUGUUAUCUAAUAAUCUGAAAACAUCAAAAAUAAACAAGACUUUUGGUGUUUGUUGAUCAAAAAACUGAAUUAUGUUUGUUAAAUCUGUCAUGUCAUGCACUGAGUGCAGUUGGGGAAGCUAAUGUACAUGUAGACCACAAAGCAACUGCUGGGCAGUGGACGACCAGUUCCCUUGCCAAAGCACAAAAAAUUUACAAGAUGUUGUGGUGGUUGUUGCUUUCCUCAUUGCUAAAAUUGUUAUUGUUGUAAUCUAUCAAUAUUCAAUUGACACUAUUUUAUAUUUUUGGUCAACAGAAAUAAUCAGCUCUAUUCUGGAAACAAGCACACAACCAGAAGGAAAGUUUACACUGGAUAUUUUUUAUUUUAUUUAAUGUUCAAUGAAAACUUAGUAUCAAGAUUGAAGUUGUAACGAGUAAUGCAAACUCCAAAAAAGCCAGAAACCAACAAUAAAUAAAACAGAAAUCUGAAAAUAUAAAAACUAUAUAAAAAAUAGUCACAGAGAUAUCAGUUGUGAGGUACAACUGUAGUAAUCGGAAAUGCAUGUCUCUUUUUAACAUUCUGCAGUUAAAUAUGUAUCUAUUGUAUUCAGCACAAUACUUAAAUUUACAUGAAUAUAAUGAUGAAAAUACUGAUAAUAAUAAUAAUAAUAAUAAUAAUAAACUCAGUGAGCGUGAAAAAAAAAAAGAAUUUGGCUUGCAACGCAAGCAGGGCAGGACCGAGUCCUGUAGACUUUGCUUUUCAAGCAUCAAUCCGCCUUUGGUGAUUAGCCCAUUACAAAUCAGUCAAGGUCAUUACACCUGUCAAAAUUGAUGUUUUUCUCGUCAAGAGAGUGUGGUUUUGACUGCUGAAGUAGAAAAGUUGUGACAUACAAAGGAUGAAAUUAGUGACAAUGCAGGUUCAUCCCCUGACAACUCAGAUGUUGAGUUAGGGCCUCUUCAUAUGAGCCCGGUCAGCCAGGCUGGUUCGGUUUCCAAGAUCUCACCUCGCCACUCUUUCCUUUGUAAAAAUUUCGAUGUGUUCAUAUAAGAAGCCAGGCUGGCCCGGUUAUCGAGAUCUUGGGUUUUGCGACCAAGAUCUCCGUAACUGGGAUAAAAAUUUUCCCAUAUAAACACUCCAGCCCGGGUAACCGAGACAAAACAUUUUACACAAAAUAGCUUUGCUUUCGCAACAUAGCGGCCAAAAUGGCAUGAUUUUUGCCCUGCAUGUAUUUCCACUUUAGGAGUAGGUGAAUUAGAUUUAUUAGUAAAGUUACAAGAGUCCACAAAGCUGCGACAGCCACGAACAAUACACGUUUAUGUUCCACCAUUUGGGUUGUGUUUCUUUCAUUUUAUCCCAGUAGACCGGGCUGAAAAUCCCCAUAUGAACAGACAACAAAAUUUGUCCCGGUAACUGAGCCAGCCCAGUUACCCGGCUCAUAUGAAGAGGCCCUUAAAAUCAGAAAAACAUAA
rnacentral:lncRNA from 1 species